rnacentral:sRNA from 1 species
AAAGCAGUUGAUACACCGAUUGAUGGCAUCGAAAAACUUUAAUAAGACAACAAGUUGAUGAGAUAUAUGUAUAUAGGUUUGACGUGGAUUUCGAUUGCAGUUAAUUAGAAUAGCUCAAUGCUAUAAAUGUAAGUAGUUGAUAUGAAGAAACUAAUGAACUAAAUGCAAGUAUUUUCUAAAACAAUCAUUUUAUUGAAAUUUAGUAGAGCUGAAAUUAAUAUAA